GGGAUUGCCCUAGUAACGGCGAGUGAAGCGGCAAGAGCUCAAAUUUGAAAUCUGGCCCCUCCGGGGUCCGAGUUGUAAUUUGCAGAGGAUGCUUCGGGUGCGGUCCCCAUCUAAGUGCCCUGGAACGGGCCGUCAUAGAGGGUGAGAAUCCCGUCUGGGAUGGGUGGCCGUGCCCGUGUGAAGCUCCUUCGACGAGUCGAGUUGUUUGGGAAUGCAGCUCUAAAUGGGUGGUAAAUUUCAUCUAAAGCUAAAUAUUGGCCGGAGACCGAUAGCGCACAAGUAGAGUGAUCGAAAGAUGAAAAGCACUUUGAAAAGAGAGUUAAACAGCACGUGAAAUUGUUGAAAGGGAAGCGCUUGCGACCAGACUCGCCCGCGGGGGUUCAGCCGGUACUCGUACCGGUGUAUUCCCCCGUGGGCGGGCCAGCGUCGGUUUGGGCGGCCGGUCAAAGGCCCCCGGAAUGUGUCGCCUCUCGGGGCGUCUUAUAGCCGGGGGUGCAAUGCGGCCAGCCUGGACCGAGGAACGCGCUUCGGCACGGACGCUGGCGUAAUGGUCGUAAGCGGCCCGUCUUGAAACACGGACCAAGGAGUCUAACAUCUACGCGAGUGUUCGGGUGUCAAACCCGUCCGCGCAGUGAAAGCGAACGGAGGUGGGAACCUUUCGGGGUGCACCAUCGACCGAUCCUGAUGUCUUCGGAUGGAUUUGAGUAAGAGCGUAGCUGUUGGGACCCGAAAGAUGGUGAACUAUGCCUGAAUAGGGCGAAGCCAGAGGAAACUCUGGUGGAGGCUCGCAGCGGUUCUGACGUGCAAAUCGAUCGUCAAAUUUGGGUAUAGGGGCGAAAGACUAAUCGAACCAUCUGGUAGCUGGUUCCUGCCA
rnacentral:rRNA from 2 species